AUGAAUCUCUUCAUCACCUUCAUCUGGAUUCUUGGAGGUUUUAUUCAAGAAUCCAGAGGAGUUACUGUAACUCAGAGUAAAACUCAAUCUGUUUUUGUGGGACAAAUCGUCACUAUAAAGUGUACAACUGAUACUGGAAUAGAUACCAAUGGUUUAUUUUGGUAUCAGCAGAAACCUGGAGAAACUCCUAAACACAUCAUUUAUGGUAUAAGUAGUCGUCAUGGUGACACUUCAGGUCGAUUCAGUGGCACUGGAACAUGGAGUGGUACAGAUUUUACUCUGAGCAUCAGUGGAGUUCAGACUGAAGAUGAAGGAGAUUAUUACUGUAUGAGUAUACACACCAUCAGUGGUAGCUAUGUGUUCACACAGUGA